rnacentral:rRNA from 1 species
UACAGAGGGUGCGAGCGUUGUUCGGAAUUAUUGGGCGUAAAGGGCGCGUAGGCGGUGCGGUAAGUCACCUGUGAAAUCUCCUGGCUCAACUGGGAGCUUGCAGGCGAAACUGCCGUGCUGGAGUGUGGGAGAGGUGCGUGGAAUUCCUGGUGUAGCGGUGAAAUGCGUAGAUAUCGGGAGGAACACCAGUGGCGAAGGCGACUUCCUGGCCUGUUCUUGACGCUGAGGCGCGAAAGCUAGGGUAGCAAACGGG